AUUACUCCACCCUUACACAUAGAAUCCCAUUUUACAGUGGAGAAAAUUGAGGCUCAGGGAGGUUAUCGAGGCAGAGCAAGGGAUGGAAAUAAAGUUAGCUGGUUCUGAAUCCUGUGCUCUUUUCAUUAGGCCGCAGUGAUAGGACCCUCAACAUCCUGAAAUACUCUCAUACCUCAGCCUUCAUAUCAAACUCAAGUAACCUCUCAGGUCAAAUCAAGACUCACUGAGGAAGACAAAGUAUAUGAUACCAAUUAGAACUGAGGCCAUCCUAAGCUGAGCCAUCUUCACUGUCCCUGCUGAGGCUGUCCCAGAUCAUCCGACCUGCAGCUGACCUACGGGCAUGUGAGUGAGCCCAGGACGGCCCUGGUGAGCCCCACCAAACUGCCAACCCAUAAAUACAGAAGAUGGGGAUGACUUGGGGAUGACUGAAGUUCUGAACAGGAGAGAGAAAGCUAGGAACCCUUACAAAGUGUUUUCUUCACAUGUGGAUCUAACAGGCUUCAUAAAGCCCACUGGUACAGCGGAGUACAUUGACUCACCCUUUUGGAAACCAACGUAGAAAUAUU